rnacentral:rRNA from 1 species
GAGAGCGGCGCACGGGUGCGGAACUNUUGUGCAACCUGCCUUUAUCAGGGGAAUAGCCUUUCGAAAGGAAGAUUAAUGCCCCAUAAUAUUUAGAAUGGCAUCAUUUUAAAUUGAAAACUCCGGUGGAUAAAGAUGGGCACGCGCAGGAUUAGAUAGUUGGUAGGGUAACGGCCUACCAAGUCAGCGAUCCUUAGGGGGCCUGAGAGGGUGAUCCCCCACACUGGUACUGAGACACGGACCAGACUCCUACGGGAGGCAGCAGUGAGGAAUAUUGGACAAUGGGUGAGAGCCUGAUCCAGCCAUCCCGCGUGAAGGACGACGGCCCUAUGGGUUGUAAACUUCUUUUGUAUAGGGAUAAACCUUUCCUCGUGAGGGAAGCUGAAGGUA